rnacentral:lncRNA from 1 species
GGCCGUGAUUAAUGCAGGUCAGCAGGACCAGAGCGCCCCUUGGUCCCUCUCAACACAUGAGGGUAGUUUGUGUGGUGAGGUCAGAGAGAGUGUCUGCGCUUCUGCCCUGAAUAGGACUCCCUUGGAAAAUACUUGAAUAUCUCUUUUUAAAUACCCCCUUGGACCACUUUUAAUAGUUUUCUGAUAGAACUAAACAGUGAUCAUUCUCUUAAUUCAUGUUUCCAUUAAGUUUUUCAGGUUAAGUACUGCACGACUACUCGCUUCUGAAACUGAUAGACACUGCCUCAGCUCCGUGCAGGGCAGACGCACAAGAGCAGAAUCUCCGUGGGACAUCUCUCUGGAGCAUCAAUAUUACUGCAGUAUUUGGAAGAAACAAAUUUAAAUAAGUUCUAAGGUAAAGAAUGGAACAUUUAAGACAAGUCUGGAAAGUCAUCUGCCUUUAAUAACUGUCGUUUGUCCCUCACGUCAGACUUUCUCCAAGACAAAAACUCUAAGAACUUAUUUCCAUUCUUACAAAUAGUAAAAAUGAUAAAUCAUAUCAAAUCCAUUGAAAGUCCUGCCUGCUACUUUCCUAAAUCGCAAUAUGGCCUUGGUAUGGUUUUAUUUGUACUUUUGUGGGGGGUUCGUGGAUCUUUAGAUAAAAAAAGAAAAGAAUAGGUUUUUGAACAAUUUUUGCAAGUUUGCAGCUGUUAGGUAUUGAUUUAUUUUUGCAACCCAUCUAAUUCUUCUGUCUCUCUCCUCUCCUCAGACUCAAUAAUUCCAUGGGUCUCUAAGGCUGUGUUUAUUUUCUUUAAAUUUUGUUGAUUUACUUUUAUACUCCAUUUGAUUUUUUCUAUCUCUCACCUUUUCUCAGACUCAGUCAUCCCACAGGUCUGUAAGUCUCUGUUCAUUUUCUUUAAACUUCUUUUUUUUUCUGUCCUCAGAUUGGAUAAAUUAUAUUGCUAUGUCUCUGUUUCUGAACUAUAGAAAAGCUCAAAAUUAUUAUUUUUAUUUCCCAUUUUUUAUAUGGCUAUUUUUUCUCUGCUGACAUGCAGCCAGGCCUUCCUGA